GCAGCCGCAAUACAUAUCAAAAUGCAUAAAACUAUACAAUUCCCAUGAUAUCAUCAUUGAUGUACUACUAAAACUUGUGAAAUCACUUCUAAGGUUCAAAAGCGUUUGCAAAUCAGGGUGUUCUUUAAUUGAACAUGACAAAUUCAUCAAUCUUUGUCAAGAUCUAUGCAAUUGAACAUGACAAAUUCAUCAAUCUUUGUCAAGAUCUAUGCAAAAGUGAUAUAAAUAGAUAAAUUGUUGGCGCUUUUGCAAAUCAGGGUGUUCUUUAAUUGAAGAUGACAAAUUCAUCAAUCUUCGUCAAGAUCUAUGAAAAAGUGAUACAAAUAGAUAAAUAUUGUUGGUGUCUUUGUGUUGCAACAAGGAUGAUCCUUAUUACUACUCCUCCGUAGACGCUUCACUUGGACAUGAUUUUGUUGUUUCUCUUGUUGAGGGUGCUCUUUAAUUAAAGAUGACAAAUUCAUAAAUCUUCGUCAAGAUCUAUGCAAAACAAAAAUUGUUGGUGUCUUUGUUUUGCAACAAGGAUGAUCCUUACUACUCCUCCGUAGACGCUCCACUUCAACAUGAUUUCGUUGUUUCUUCUUGAGGGUCUUCUUUAAUUGAAGAUAGCAAAUUCAUCAAUCUUUAUCAAGAUCUAUGCAAAAGUGAUAUAAAUAGACAAAAAUUGUUGGUGUCUUUGUUUUGCAACAAGGAUGAUCCUUGCUACUACUACUCCGUUGACGCUCCACUUCAACAUGAUUAUGUUGUUUCUCCUGUUGAGGUAAUCCCCCUUGAAUCAACUAUGAUCAAUUUUAGCAAGGUAUGUAUUAUUUCUUGCAAUGGAAUAAUACUUUUCAUAGAAAGAUUUUGCGCCGCUCACUAAAUUCAGUGGUUAAUGAGAUUUGUAAAUCGAAUGUUCCUAUUUGGAGAAGAAUCAACAAAAUAGAUAAUUACAUAAAGACAUAUCCAAGUAAAGUAUAAAAGAAUUUUUCCUUUUUGAUGAAGUUAUUUUAUGGAAUCCAACUACUAGAAAAUUUUUUUAAAAAAAACCUUAGUCUAAUUUUUUUUUCUAAUCCUUAGACAUUAUGGAAUUGAAUUUAGGUUUUACAAUUCAAUAAACCAUAGUUUUGAAUAUAAUAUGGAAACAAUACUUCCUGAAUAGCAUUAAAUCAUUUUCUCUCUGACUUUUUACUUUUUAGGGAUUAAGCUAGGGAAAUGUUUUUUUGAUUCAGAAGAACUAAUAAAACUUAUUUUAUUUAAAUGAUUGAUUCCUGGUAGAGCUAUCAAAAAGGAUUGGCCCAGCCUAGCGGGCCCAAGCUUCGCAUGUCAAGAAAUUUGAAGGGCUAGGGCAGGCCGGCCCUUCAUUUGCAAGGACCUAAAAAUGUUCAACCCAACCCAACCCCAGAAGGGCCGAGGGUUGGGGCGGACUAGCUGUUCUUUUUUUCUUUUCAAAUUUAUAAUUUUAUAACAUUAAGAAAAUGAGAAGAUUUUCAAAUCAAAUAUGAUGAAUAAUGUUGUUUCAAUAACACAAGCAAAAAAUUUAGUGUAAUUAGCAUGUAUCUUGCAUUACCAAAUAUGCUAGCGAGAUAAGAGAAUGACAAGUAAGAUGGGAGGGAAGCGAGGGUGAGAGAUUUGUGUAUGUAUCCUAGACACAUGAGAAUCUACUCGGAUAGAGUGUACUUAGAAAAAAUUAACUUAAUUUUGAGUCCAUAUAUAUUGAGAUACAUGUAUCUGAAUGUACUAAAAUUUGUUUGUGUGCAUUGAAGUAACUAGAUUAUAUAUUAUUGAUAUUAUUGUAAGUUACCCUUAAAUAAAAGAAUGGGCUGAACCCGACCCGACCUUAAUCAAGUCUCAAGGACCAAGGACUUAUAUAGGUCGGACUUAUAAGCCCUAAUUUUAAAUGAGCUUGAAUAAUUCUAUUCCAACCCUAUCCCAAUAACGGGUUGGGUCGGGUCGGACCCAGCCUAUUUGACAGCUCUAAUUUCUGAUAUCGGAGGCUCAAGAAGAGAGGCAACAAAAUCGUAUUGAAGUGUAGCGUUUAUAUAGCAGCAAUAGUCGUCCCUGUGUCAAAUAGACGACCAUGCAUAAAAAUAUUAUGACGAUUUACGUUACGUCUAGACAUAUCGUGGUGAUGCUUGAUGAAUUAGAGAUUUUCAUAAAAAUUAAUGAGAGUCAUGAUUUUGCAAACGUGAAUCGUAAAAGCGAUUUGACCGAAAGUCUUAGAAGUAUAUUGAUGGUGAUAUCAUUAGGCAUUUCAAAGAUCUUUGGAUUUAGUAAUUGCUUGGUUUUGGAUAGUGUUUUGAGUUUGAAUUUUUCUUAUUCUAUAAGAGGGAGUAUCUAAGCUCUUCUCUCUCAACAUAUUUAUUUCUUCACUAAGGUAAUCUUGUCAUUUAAUGUGUUUCAUGAGGAUAACGAUCAUCAUUUCACGAGCAUAUGGUUGCAAGUAGAAAGUUCUUCUAAGACUUGUAGUCGAAUCGCUUUUACGAUUCAAAUGCAUUUGCAAAUUAUGACGCUAUUUAAUGGAAGAUUCCUAAUUCAUCAAGCAUCAUCAUGAUAUGUUUGAAAGUGAUGUGAAUCGUCAUAAAAUUUUAAAUAAUUAACUUCAAAGUCAUAAAUAUUAAAAUCAACUGUUAUAUUAAUUUAUUUUGAACUGUGCAAGAUCCGUGAGAGUCAAGUGUUUACGUGUAAGAAAUAAAAAUAAAAAGCACAUUCAUAAAAUAAAAAUACAAAAUUAUUAAAAUUUUUGUAUAUAUACAACUUUAACAUAAUAGAUCUGAAUUGUAAUCAAGUAAAUUGUAUUUAAUAAUAGAUAACGCCUCAAACUAUUAUUAUUUCUAAAACUAUAAGCUAAAUUUGGGCAUAACUAGAGGUAUCAAAUAUGAUCCAAAAAUAGAUGGUCCGCCCAAAAUGUAGGCCCACACUCAUACUUUAUCAUAUGAGUAAAAAUAAGGAAAAAUUACAUAAAUUGAUAUAUUUUAAUAAAUAAUUACUGAUUUUA